GACGAACGCUGGCGGCGUGCUUAACACAUGCAAGUCGAACGAUGAACCCGGAGCUUGCUCCGGUGGAUUAGUGGCGAACGGGUGAGUAACACGUGAGUAACCUGCCCUUGACUCUGGGAUAACUGCGGGAAACUGUAGCUAAUACCGGAUACGACCCUCGGCGGCAUCGCCAGGGGGUGGAAAGAAUUUCGGUCAAGGAUGGACUCGCGGCCUAUCAGCUAGGUGGUGAGGUAACGGCUCACCAAGGCGACGACGGGUAGCCGGCCUGAGAGGGCGAGCGGCCACACUGGGACUGAGACACGGCCCAGACUCCUACGGGAGGCAGCAGUGGGGAAUAUUGCGCAAUGGGCGAAAGCCUGACGCAGCAACGCCGCGUGCGGGAUGACGGCCUUCGGGUUGUAAACCGCUUUCAGCAGGGAAGAAGCCGCAAGGUGACGGUACCUGCAGAAGAAGCACCGGCUAACUACGUGCCAGCCGCCGCGGUAA
rnacentral:rRNA from 1 species